ACUGACAAGCUGCGUAAACCAUACGGAGGAACCUGCCAAGAAGAUGUGCCCACUCGACUGACAAGCUGCGUAAACCAUACGGAGGAUCACACAGUUGAAAUAGGCCUCGCCCUAGUUAUCCGGGAACAGGGCCUCCCACUACUACACGAUUGAAGCCAUUUCUGUUGACGUUUUUUGAAGAAACAAAUAUAGAUGCUAGCAGAUCCAUGUUUUGCUUUUUGUAUUGAAAAUUUUAUAAAACACCGUGUGUCACUGUA